rnacentral:lncRNA from 1 species
AUGGAUGCCCCUCAGGCUGCCCGGCCCUCCAGCCAUCCCUCCCUGCUCCAGUUUUUCAGAAGCCUCCUUGGGUACCCACGGAGCUUGCUGGGGGCACAGGAGCCCAGAGCAGAGAAGCAGGAGCAGGGUGCUGCUGUAGGGCCCCACAGCUGGCAGGCAGAGCAGGUUGAACCCACCCAUGGGGGGAUCCAGGAGCACUGCGAGGAUGAGGAGGGGGACAGCAUGGAGCUGCUGCUGGGGGAGCUGCGGGAGGUCAGCCUGCAGGGAUCGCUGGGCAGCAGCACCAGCAGGAGCUGCCUGACCACCAGCACCAGUGACGUGGAAGUGGCAGUGGAGCGCAAUGGGAUGGAGGCUCCUGGUGGCACCGUGACCCUGCAGAGCGAUGGGGCGGCCGGCGAGGAGAGAGGGGCUGCAGAUGAAGCCGUUGGCAGAGCUCUGGUGAUGGAUGAGUUCCUUCAAGGUCUGAGUGCUGCUGAUGAAGACACCUGCUCUGCAAGCCCUGAGCCGAUGUUUUCAAUGGAUCUUGACACUGAAUGGGAGAAAGGGCAUCUCCUGAAAGCAAAGCAGGGCGCAGGAUCCCCGAAAGCAGAGCUGUCCCUGUGGAACAGGUUCAUCAGUGUGAACAGACACCAAUGGACUUUGCGUAAGAGCAGGAGCAAGCCCAGAGGAGGCCAUAGCAGGAGGAGGAUGGGUGUCUGCAAUCCAGACAACAAAGCCUGGGCUCGUGCCUCGAGGAGUUCGAUGGAGCUGGAAAGCGAGGAGCAGCCGCUCCUGCGGGCAGAUGAGAGCAGCCCCACGAGCCCUCAGCUCCCCGUCCUGCCCGCAGAACCCUCUGCAGCACUGCCGGUGUACAGAUGCAGCACCUGCAGAGGUGGGAGCAGCCCCACGGAGCCACACCGCCACUGCAGGAGACAUCAGUGCUUCCCCUCUGCUGUUCCCAACCUGCCCAGGAGCCCCGUGCUUCAUCUUCCUCCUCUUCUUUCCUUUGUGUUUAUCAUUCAUGUGCACACCACGUUUCCUUGCUGCUUUUUCCCUUUCCUUUUCCUUGGAGAAGGCCCUGCGUGUCUCACCACACCCAUGGGGUGGACAAGUUUGGUCUGAGGUGGUUUCAAUUGAACAUUUUGUGUGAAUGAGCUCUUCUUGCUUCUCCGUCUUUGCUCUCAAGUUCCCUCAUUAAACACAGAAUUCUCUGCUGAAUUCGUUUUUCUCCUUUCUUUCUUUCCUUCCACCUCCCAGUUUUUUUCACGUCUUCCACUUUCCUCUCUGUGGUUUUUAAGGUGUUUAUGGAUUAAUUUUUUAAUUUGGGGGUUAGAAAAGGCAAAGGAGAGGUGUGAUCCUCCGAUCCAUGAUGGUCCCCUGAUUGUUAAAGGUGACAAUCUUGUAUGCAGUGUUGGAGAGGAGUUGGAGGACCCCGACCCUGUAGAGGAGAAGACCCUCUGCUCUUCAUCUUCUGUUUGAGUACAUGGGAGAAACCAUGCGAGCAGGGCUGGAGGAGCUGCUGGCAGCCCGGCUCCUGCUAAUCUGGGAAUUGUAUGCCAGGAAGCACACACCCAGCCGACCUGCCCCAGACAAAGCCUGCCGUGUCCGCACCGGCUCUCCAGGCGUUCCCCGCGCGCCUUGGGUUAUUUCAGAGUUAUCCCAGCAUGGGUUCCCUCCCCAGACUUCCACCUGUGCUGGUUGCGGGGUUGGAGCGCAUUGCUCCCGGCAUGGCUCGCAUGCUCUCCUUCUGCAAAAUGGGGCUGUGCCAUCUAAACUCUCCUGGCCAACCUGAAAUACCAGUGGUGAGAGCGGGAUCCCCUCCCUGCUUGUCUUGCAGGUGUUCACUUUGGACCCUAACGAUGGCAAAUUAACCAGGGCCAUUGUUACUUUCUCUGGGUUGAGCAGAGCUAUUGCGUCAAUAGAAACAUCCCACAUCACCUCUCUGGUAGCAGAACUCUGCGUCCUUGAUGUGUCCUUAGAAACCUUCAGCUCCAAAUAAACUUCUGCGGGAUUUCCUGUAGAAAAGCACUAUAUAAAAUGUGGGUAUUCUUAGCAGUGCCCCUCUGCCAGGUCGUGUGUCACACACCAGCACCGGGCGAGGAGAUGCCAGGAGGAAGGGUUUGCCUCUGCUGAGUCACUUGGGUUACACACUGCCUUGGGAAGCAGCUGCUGUCAUCUGCUAAACGAGGGUUGCCAGAGCUGACCAAGUCAUUUCCACAGCAUUCAAGCAUCCCUGGGUAGGGCAGCCCUCAUCCCUGCACCAUUCCCACUGUGUGGGUGGGAAUUGGAGGGGUCUGCACGGAGCCACGCUUGGCACUGCAUGUGGUGGGUGGUGGGAGUGGGCAGGGUGUGUUCUGCUCUCCUCUAUCAGGGCAGAGCUGGGCCCACCGCCACGGUGAGCAGCUGCACGCUCACGUGGUGCUCCCACAUCCUGCACAACGUAUUUCAAGAGGUGCUAUUUACAAACACCAACACGGUGCUAGAGCAAGUGCUGCAACCUGCACGGCGUGGAGGAG